UGAGAGUGUGGUGGAACUCUCUCCGACGCUGGAUCAUUGUGUGGCUUCACGAGUUACGGGGAGAUGAGAGGACAGCGAGCACGGGGUGCUCAUCACGGAGAAGCGGAGACAGGAGCACUAGCACUGGGAAGAGGACACGUCAUGGGAGUCGGGAGAGCACGGGAUUUAUUGUCAUGUCUGUCCAUCACUGUAAAUAAAGGCACUGCUUGUACAUAGA